GAACACACAAGAAUAGACAGAAUAAGGUAUAUAGUGAUAUAAU
rnacentral:guide_RNA from 1 species